rnacentral:lncRNA from 1 species
AAUUUAACUUUUGUUUUUGACCCAGUUGUUGUGGUGGCGGAGAUGUAACCAAACUGUGAGCUACGCGCUUUUUGCUCCAUUUGCCCACUAUUUUAUUUUGUCGUUCAGACUACCUCACAUGGUGUACAAGUAUAAUAAAUGUCAACUACUUAAGUGGAAUUCCAGACUAACUCGUCAUUAGCAGCGGAUAAGAUCCACAAAGGUGGGAAUUACCCCAGAGCAUCCGUGAAUUGCUCUGGCCCUGGAGCUAGCAAGUGAAGGCUCCCCUGAGCCGUCUCGACUGCGGUCUGGAGGCGAGGCAGGAAAGGUAACACUGGGGGCUCGUCCAGUAUAAAGGAACCAGAAGGUCAACUGGCGAAGUGGCUCGAGAAGUUUGGGGAGUAUAACUUACAUCGUUCAGGACGCCACCACGAAAAUGCUAACGUCCUGUUCAGGAGGCCCUGCCGCCAGACUUGCUCCUGCACUAUACAGGACCAAACCCAGAACAAUGACUGUUUCAGGCACCAGGAAGUGCAGUGUGGCCUCGGUCCCAGCAUAGCUGAUUACGAGGUGGAAUCAAUCAAUCAAAUGUAUUUAUAAAGCCCUUUUUACAUCAAAGCCCUUUUUACAUUCAACAUGUCGAGUCUGAUGUGAUGAGAGAGAUGAGCGGCGUUAUCGAUAGCCAAUUUGAACCAUAACAUAACAUCAGAUACAGAUACACAAUUCAUCAUUUAUCAUUAUGAAAUGGAUGGGUCACAUUUAUUGAAAUUAUGCCAUUCUAAGUGACAAUUAACUGAAUCGGUGUCAUCAUGCUUGCACCUCCUUCGUCUGAUGACGGAACCGACAACGCCUGAAGAAAAGCGUUGCCUCACCAGGGUCUUUGCAACGUUUCCUCUCUGCGUGACGCCGCCAGACUUGCCCCUGCACUGUACAGGACCCUACCCAGAACAAUGACCAUUGCAGGCACCAGGAAGUGCAGUGUGACCUCGGCCCCAGCAUAACUGAUUACACUGUGGAAUCAAUCAAUCAAUCAAAUGUAUUUAUAAAGUAAUUUUUUACAUCAGCCGAUGUCACAAAGUGCUAUACAGAAACCCAGCCUAAAACCCCAUACAGCAAGCAAUGCAGGUGUAGAAGCACGUGGCUAGGAAAAACUCCCUAGAAAGGCAUGAACCUAAGAAGAAACCUAGAGAGGAACCAGGCUCUGAGGGGUGGCCAGUCCUCUUCUGGCUGUGCCGGGUUGAGAUUAUAAUGGUACAUGGCCAAGAUGUUCAAACGUUCAUAGAUGACCAGCAGGGUCAAAUAAUAAUAAUAAUCACAGUGGUUGUAGAGGGUGCAACAGGUCAGCACCUCAGGAGUAAAUGUCAGUUGGCUUUUCAUAGCCGAUCAUUCAGAGUUAGAGACAGCAGGUGCGGUAGAGAGAGAGAGUCGAAAACAGCAGGUACGGGACAAGGUAGCACGCCCGGUGAACAGGUCAGGGUUCCAUAGCUGCAGGCAGAAUAGUUGAAACUGGACAGGGCCAACCAGGCAGGAUAUACCGACAGAUACUACCUCAUGUGUUCCGGACGGACAGAAUGAAGCAGAUGCAUGACGGCCCAGUAACCAGUCACUUUGGCGUGGAACGAACACUUGCCCGGCUGCAGACAAGAUACUACUGGUACCGAAUGAGAGAGGAUGUCACACUAUGGUGUCGUACAUGUACCAGCUGUGCCGCUAAAGCCAGACCUUCGACGAAGCCCCAAGCACCUAUGGGCACUGUUCUCGUGGGAGUACCUAUGGAGAGGAUCGCCCCAUGAACAAGACAGAAUGCUAGAAUCGCUACAUAUUGGUGGUUCAAUACUAUUUCACAAAGUGGGUGGAAGCCUACCCUCUACCCAACUAUCAAGCCGCAACAGUGGCAGAAGUUCUGACAGCUGAAUGGGUGUGUCGCUAUGGAGCCCCACAGACACUCCACAGCGACCAAGGCUCCAACUUCAAAUCAGAAGUCUUCCAAAGAAUGCGUGAACUGUUAGGAAUCGAGAAGACUCUCACAACCCCUUUCAGACGGCAAUCUGACGGGCAAGUCAAAAGAUUUAAUGCCAUUCCACAGGAGAUCUUAGCCACUACCACAGAACGUUGUCAUUGGGACUGGGACCUUAAACCCCCUGAAGUAUGUGGGUCUGUAAAUUGUGACUGUUUUAUAUUCUAUGCAUUGAGACGUGGGCCAUGUUUUGGGAACUGUGUUAUUUUGUAUGGGAAGAAAAACUGGUAUUUUUGUAAACAGAAGGAAACAUUUUUGAAAUAUAACAGUUGUUGUAAAUUGCAAGUGCUAACCUUUUUCCUUUUCAGGAGAGAUAAAUAGGGGUCCUGCAUUCACACUGGAAUUACAUGUGCAAGCCCUACAGUGGACUGCUAGGUACUGGAACCACUGACUUGCCUUCCUUUCUCUAUGUAUCCUCAUCUGAAACCAACAGCCUUUGGGGUGACAGGUAGCCUAGUGGUUAGAGCGUUGGACUAGCAACCAAAGGUUGCAAGAUCGAAUCGCUGAGCUGACAAGGCAGUUAACCCACUUUUCCUAGGCCGUCAUUGAUAAUAAGAAUUUGUUCUUAACUGACUUGCCUAGUAAAAUUAAAAUAAAUCAAAAUCCUACCCACUGCUCCAUGUGCUUUUAGGGAAUAUGGACUGUAUUGACUACUUGCUCUGUCAGGACAGGACAAGUUCAGAGGACUUUAUCGACUGAAAAUAAUAAUAUUAAAAAAACAUUGCUCUGGCAGGAAAGGUAACAAUUUGCUUAAGUACUGAGAAAGAGAGGAGAGAGAAGAAAAAGAUGAGAGCAGAGACGAUAUAAUAGUGCCGGAAGGGAUGGCUGCCGUUUUACGGGCUCCUAACCAACUGUGCUAUUUUGAUAGUUUUUUCGCAUUAUUUGUAACUCAUUUUGUACAUAAUGUUGUUCCUACCGUCUCUUAUGACUAAAAAGAGCUUCUGGACAUCAGAACAUUGAUUACUCACCUCGAACUGGAAGAAGAUUUUUAUUUAAUGAGUCCGACGCGAAGGAUAUACUGCUUUGUCAAGACAAGGCCCAAAUCUCCAUCAUCAGCAUGAAGAAAAGACAAAGGAAAAGGGGAAGGAGGGUGGGGUGCCUUUGAGACGUGCCUGAACGAUGACACCGAUAAUGUAGAGCUGUCUGGCUUAUUCGUGCAUCUGCAGGACAGAGCAGCUACGUCUGCAUGUCACAUGUGCAACCAGAGGAAAAAAAUCUAGACCACCUUUACUCCACACACAGAGACACAUACAAAGCUCUCCCUCGCCUUCCAUUUGGCAAAUCUGACCAUAAUUCUAUCCUCCUGAUUCCUGCUUACAAGCAAAGACUAAAUCAGGAAGUACCAGUGACUCGCUCAAUACGGAAGUGGUCAGAUGACACGGAUGCUGAACUACAGGACUGUUUUACUUGCACAGACUGGAAUAUGUUCCAUGAUUCAUCCAAUGGCAUUGAGGAGUAUACCACCUUAGUCACUGGCUUCAUCUAUAAGUGCAUCGAUGACGUCGUCCCCACAGUGACCGAACGUACAUUUCCCAACCAGAAACCAUGGAUUCUAGGCAACAUCCGCACUGAGCUAAAGGCUAGAGCUGCCACUUUCAAGGAGCAGGACUUUACUCUGACCCUUAUAAGAAAUCCCGCUAUGCCCUCAAACGAACCAUAAAACAGUCAAAGCCUCAGUACAGGACUAAGAUUGAAUCCUACUACACCGGCUCUGACGCUCGUCCGAUGUGGCAAGGCUUGAAAAAUAUUACAGACUACAAAGGGAAACCCAGCCGUGAGCUGCCCAGUGCCACGAGCCUACCAAAUUAGCAAAAUGCCAUUUAUGCUCGCUUCGAGGCAAGCGAUAUUGAAGCAUGCAUGAGAGCACGAGCUGUUCCGGACGACUGUGUGAUUACACAUAGCCAAUGUGAGCAAGACCUUUAAACAGGUCAACAUUCACAAAGCCACGGGGCCAGAUGGAUUACCAGGACGUGUACUCAAAGCAUGCGCGGACCAACUGGCAAGUGUCUUCACUGACAUUUUAAACCUCUCCCUGACCAAGUCUGUAAUACUUACAUGUUAGAAACAGACCACCAUAGUCCCUGUGCCCAAGAAAGCAAAGGUAACCUGUCUAAAUGAUUACCACCCCAUAGCACUCACGUCGGUACCCUUGAAGUGCUUUGAAAGGUUGGUCAUGGCUCACUUCAACACCAUCAUGCCAGAAACCCUAGAAACCAUAGACCCCUUCGCAUACCACCCCAACAGAUCCACAGAUGACACAAUCUCAAUUGCAGUCCACACUGCCCUUUCCCACCUAGACAAAAAUACACCUGUGUGAGCAUGCUGUUCACUGACUACAACUCAGCGUUCAACACCAUAGUGCCCACAAAGCUCAUCAAUAAGCUAAGAACCCUGGAACUAAACACCUCCCUCUGCAACUGGAUCCUGGACUUCCUGACGGGCCGCCCCAGGUGGUAAGGGUAGGCAACAACACAUCUGCCAUGCUGAUCCUCAACACGGGAGCCCCUCAGGGGUGCGUGCUUAGUCCCCUCCUGUACUCCCUGUUCACCCACGACUGCGUGGCCAAGCACGGCUCCAACACCAUCAUUAAGUUUGCUGAUGACACAAUAGUGAUAGGCCUGAUCACCGACAAUGACAAGACAGCCUAUACAGAGGAGGUCAGAGUCCUGGUCGUGUGGUGCCAGGACAACAACCUCUCCCUCAAUGUGAGCAAGACAAAGGAGCUGAUCGUGGACUAAAGGAAAAAGGGGAUGAACAGGCCCCCAUUAACAUCGACAGUCCUGAAGUGGAGCGGGUCCAGAGUUUCAAGUUCCUUGGGGUCCGCAUCACCAACAAACUAUCAUGGUCCAAACACACCAAGACAGUUUGAACGAGGGCACGACACACCUUUUCCCCCUCAAGAGACUGAAUAGAUUUCAGAAAGUUAUACAGCUGCACCAUCGAGAGCAUCCUGACCGGUUGCACCACCGCCUCGUAUGGCAACUGCUUAGCAACUGACCGUAAGGCGCUACAGACGGUAGUGCGUACGGCCGUGUACAUCCCUGGGGCCAAGCUUCCUGACACGCCAGUCACCCAAGUCAAUGACUGUUCUCUCUGCUACCGCACGGCAAGCGGCACCGGAACUCCAAGUCUAGGACCAAAAGGCUCCUUAACAGCUUCUAUCCCCAAGCCAUAAGACUGCUGAGCAAUUAAUCAAAUGGCCACACAGACUAUUUACAUUGACCCCCCCAAAUUACCUGGACUAACAUUGACUUGGUACCGGUUCCCCCCUGUAUAUAGCCUCCUUAUUGUUAUGUAAUUUUCUUGUGUUACCUUUUGAUUAUUAUUAUUUUUUUUUUUUACUUUAGUUAGUGAAUAUUUUCUUAACACUAUUUCUUGAACUGCAUUGUUGGUUAAGGGCUUGUAAGUAAGCAUUUCACAGUAAGGUCUACUACACCUGUUGUAUUCGGCGCAUGUGACAAAUAAAAUUAGAUUUGAUUUGAUUUGAGAUAACGUCAGUGUAGUCAGCAGUGCUACAAUGGGACCCAUGGUGCUAAUGAGUGGUUGCCUAGCAACUGCAUCUAGGGGUGGGCCAGCCAGGUUUUCACAGCAGCACCGUGCCUGGGCAGGGAGGACUUCAGACAUAGCUCAACCCAUGGAUGGAUUCCAUUCUAUUUACUUUACUUUAUUUAUAUACAAUUAAUAAACGUCUAAUAACAUUGUUUUAUCUAUUAAAAGUCUGUUACAGCCUAUGUUUAGAUUUCCAGUAAUUUCAACCAAUGAAUUGUGUGUUCUGUGUUCACAGUGUAUAAUUUUGACUCUGUUUUAUUAAUCGUGUUGUUCUGGCGUUGCACAGCACUGAACAUUGUUAAGUCAAAUGCAUCAGUUCACUUUGCAACAACAGUUUGUCUCCUCUUCUCCAAAGUAUCUAGGCCUAUAUUCAGCCAAAUUGCAGCGCAACAACCUCCAAUAGGAAUCACUCAGCUUUGACACACCCCUCUUUUUAGCUACUGCUACUCUCUGUUCAUCAUAUAUGCAUAGUCACUUAUAUAACCAUACCCGCAUGUACAUACUACCUCAAUAAGCCUGUCUAACCAGUGUCUGUAUAUAGCCUUGCUACUCUUAUUUUCAAAUGUCUUUUUACUGUUGUUUUAUUUCUUUACUUUCCUACACACACACACACACACACACACACACACACACACACACACACACACACACACACACACACACACACACACACACAUACCUUUUUUUUCUCGCACUAUUGGUUAGAGCCUGUAAGUAAGCAUUUCACGGUAAGGUCUACACCUGUUGUAUUCGGCGCACGUGACAAAUAAACUUUGAUUUGAUUUGAUUUAGAUGUGUUGUUGUGUGUUUAUUGGGACUAUGCAGUGAGUAUGUGUGGUCUGCCUUGCUUCUGUAUGUGGAGGGCGGUCUCAGCCCAGCCCAAGGACACACGGAAAGCAGAGGACAGGGG